UACGGGGGGGGCAAGCGUUGUUCGGAAUUACUGGGCGUAAAGGGCUCGUAGGCGGCCAACUAAGUCAGACGUGAAAUCCCCAGGCUCAACCGGGGAACUGCGUCUGAUACUGGAUGGCUGGAGUGUGGGAGAGGGAUGCGGAAUUCCAGGUGUAGCGGUGAAAUGCGUAGAUAUCUGGAGGAACACCGGUGGCGAAGGCGGCAUCCUGGACCAUUACUGACACUGAAAAGCGAAAGCCAGGGGAGCAAACGGG
rnacentral:rRNA from 1 species